AGAAAUUCAAAGAUAUGUGUGAAGUCAACCAACCCGCACUUGGCCAGCGUGGUUGACUAUGGCCUAGUCAUCUCUAACAUCAACCUUUACUGUCACAUACAGACGGAAUGCAAGCUAAUGUUGUUUUUUGAAAACUCUUAAAUUAAUCGGGUUUCAAAGUUAGUUAUAAUAAGAUUUUUCAUCUAAUUUGGUGAUUGAAUCUUAUGAAGCGAGGAAUCAAACACCAAAGAUUAAGCGGUGGUCCACCUGUGUUGUUCUGUUGUAAAUGUGUUGCAUGUAGUGCUUUUAUUAUAUCUAUGCGGAGCCAAUUAAACGACACCAAUUACAACUUAUUUAUUUAUCAUUGAUGAAUCUCUGAAAUAAUUGCUUGAGACUAAUAUUAUAUUUCCACAACAGGUGGUGCAUACAGAAAUGUUGGCUUGGAUAGUUCAUGAACUCGAUGCUUGGCGCAAUUUUUGCAAUGCCUAAGAAACGAACACCAUGACUGCCAGUUCGAGGGUCGAAGAUGUCGAAAGAAAUUGAAGAUA